rnacentral:lncRNA from 13 species
GAGAUUAAUGCAUAUUACACAUUACAAUACAUAUUAAAAUGUAUUAGUACACAAAAUAAUUUCUAAACACGUUUUAUUAAGAGGCAUGUAAACUUAGCCAGGUGUUAUCGCUAUUAGUUAUGGUUUUAUCACUAGUUACACACUAAAUUUAUUGUACAUUCGAUUGUGACAUUUAUGUUAAAUUUUUAAAUAACAUUUAAAGAUGACUCAAAUGACAAGGCGAAACGUUUAGAUUCGAUAAAUGAUAUAAACAAAUUAUAUUAACGAUUUUAUAUUAAAGACUAACAAUAGCGGCAACAACACCUAGUUAGAUUCACAUGUUCUUUAACUCUUAAACACAUUUCAGGGUCUGGCAGACUGUAAAAUUUCGAACGCUUGCUGUGUGAAGAUGGAAUGAGAUAAGAGAUUCGUACCAGGAGGGAAAAAAAAGUUUGAAAUCUCUCAUUUUGAUUAAUAUGGUUGACCAACUUUAUUGAUCAACUAGAUUUCGAACGGCACGACAAAGUUUUGUUGAGGUCUGUGAGACCCACAUUGUGUGCGAGUGUAACUUUUUUAUGAAUAAUCUUAUAUAAAAAUUGUCCGGACAAGAUACAUUCGAACAGGUCUCCGUUUGCAUACAUUACUCGUAUAUACUUUGUAUAAAAUUAGAAUACUAUAUAGUGCUGUGGAGAAGGAGGCUUCUGGACGCCCGCACGAAGCGAACGAGUUUUUGUCCGAACGGAAGACGUGAGUCAGUUUAUCGUUGAAGUUCAGUCUCAUAGAGAGUUGCGUUAUAUUGUCCAUGUUCCUGAGCGAAAUUAUUACGUGAUUUCGGCUGGAGUUUGUGUCACCUUAGCGGUGGCACACAAACUGGCUCCGACUAUUUUCUCAGGUCCACUUGGUGUACAUCCAAUAUGCACUUGUGAGGUGUAUUGAGCCCAGACGAACACGUGGCACCAUUGAGGGACUGCAUUAUUUGACUAGCCAAACACAAAAGUUGCACCGAUACCUGAAAUGUACAACCCCCCUGGGUGUGCCCCAGUCAAAAUCGCUAUUACAAAUUACAAAUGCGUUCUCCUAUGGUAAAAAGUGGAGACGUUCAUUUAUAAUAAUCACCCUGUAUAUCAUGUGCGCGUGCAUGUGCGUACGUGCGCGUGUCAAGACUACACAGCAAAAAUAUGUCAAAUAUGUUCCUCUAACAGAGAUUAAUAAAAUAUAUCAUAAAACAUA